rnacentral:rRNA from 1 species
GACGAACGCUGGCGGCGUGCCUAAUACAUGCAAGUAGAACGCACAGUUUAUACCGUAGCUUGCUACACCAUAGACUGUGAGUUGCGAACGGGUGAGUAACGCGUAGGUAACCUGCCUGGUAGCGGGGGAUAACUAUUGGAAACGAUAGCUAAUACCGCAUAAUAUUAAUUAUUGCAUGAUAAUUAAUUGAAAGGUGCAAUUGCACCACUACCAGAUGGACCUGCGUUGUAUUAGCUAGUAGGUGAGGUAACGGCUCACCUAGGCGACGAUACAUAGCCGACCUGAGAGGGUGAUCGGCCACACUGGGACUGAGACACGGCCCAGACUCCUACGGGAGGCAGCAGUAGGGAAUCUUCGGAAAUGGACGAAAGUCUGACCGAGCAACGCCGCGUGAGUGAAGAAGGUUUUCGGAUCGUAAAGCUCUGUUGUAAGAGAAGAACGGGUGUGAGAGUGGAAAGUUCACACUGUGACGGUAUCUUACCAGAAAGGGACGGCUAACUACGUG